AUAUCAAUAAGCGGAGGAAAAGAAACUAACAAGGAUUCCCCUAGUAACUGCGAGUGAAGCGGGAAAAGCUCAAAUUUAAAAUCUGUCAGUCUUUGGCUGUCCGAGUUGUAAUCUAGAGAAGCGUUAUCCGCGCUGGACCGUGUACAAGUCUCCUGGAAUGGAGCGUCAUAGAGGGUGAGAAUCCCGUCUUUGACACGGACUGCCAGGGCUUUGUGAUGCGCUCUCAAAGAGUCGAGUUGUUUGGGAAUGCAGCUCAAAAUGGGUGGUAAAUUCCAUCUAAAGCUAAAUAUUGGCGAGAGACCGAUAGCGAACAAGUACCGUGAGGGAAAGAUGAAAAGAACUUUGGAAAGAGAGUUAAACAGUACGUGAAAUUGCUGAAAGGGAAACGCUUGAAGUCAGUCGCGUUGUCCAGGGAUCAACCUUGCUUUUGCUUGGUGUACUUUCUGGUUGACGGGUCAGCAUCAAUUUUGACUAUUGGAAAAAGAUUAGGGGAAUGUAGCAUCUUCGGAUGUGUUAUAGCCCUUGGUUGCAUACAAUGGUUGGGAUUGAGGAACUCAGCACGCCGCAAGGCCGGGUUUUAACCACGUCCGUGCUUAGGAUGCUGGCAUAAUGGCUUUAAUCGACCCGUCUUGAAACACGGACCAAGGAGUCUAACAUGCCUGCGAGUGUUUGGGUGGAAAACCCGAGCGCGUAAUGAAAGUGAAAGUUGAGAUCCCUGUCAUGGGGAGCAUCGACGCCCGGACCAGACCUUUUGUGACGGUUCCGCGGUAGAGCAUGUAUGUUGGGACCCGAAAGAUGGUGAACUAUGCCUGAAUAGGGUGAAGCCAGAGGAAACUCUGGUGGAGGCUCGUAGCGAUUCUGACGUGCAAAUCGAUCGUCAAAUUUGGGUAUAGGGGCGAAAGACUAAUCGAACCAUCUAGUAGCUGGUUCCUG
rnacentral:rRNA from 1 species